CCUACGGGUGGCAGCAGUCGAGAAUCAUUCACAAUGGGGGAAACCCUGAUGGUGCGACGCCGCGUGGGGGAAUGAAGGUCUUCGGAUUGUAAACCCCUGUCAUGUGGGAGCAAAUUAAAAAGAUAGUACCACAAGAGGAAGAGACGGCUAACCCUGUGCCAGCAGCCGCGGUAAUACAGAGGUCUCAAGCGUUGUUCGGAAUCACUGGGCGUAAAGCGGGCGUAGGCUGUUUCGUAAGUCGUGUGUGAAAGGCGCGGGCUCAACCCGCGGACGGCACAUGAUACUGCGAGACUAGAGUGAUGGAGGGGGAACCGGAAUUCUCGGUGUAGCAGUGAAAUGCGUAGAUAUCGAGAGGAACACUCGUGGCGAAGGCGGGUUCCUGGACAUUAACUGACGCUGAGGCACGAAGGCCAGGGGAGCGAAAGGGAUUAGAUACCCUUGUAGUC
rnacentral:rRNA from 1 species